AGCGAACCUGGUUGCUGUAGCCACAGGGGAAUUUUCAAGGACAAGAACCAGUGCUGGUAAAAAUGUGGUCUCAUGUGGUUUUGCAUACCGGCAUUCAGCAAGGAUUUCAGAGAAAGGAAUACUGUCUCCAAAUCAUGAUGUGCCAAUAAGCUCCAGUUAGCUGUGCCUUUUUCCUCCCACCGGUAGUCCUUCAAUCUGAAUCCAGGAGAUGCAGCUCUGAAUCCAAUAUUUCAGGAGAAUGAAUAUAAAACUGAAGCCUUCAGGAAGUCAAUGCCACCAUGAUAUUGAUUUAUUCAUCUCUGAUGUACUCAGCAGUGAUGUAACAUGCCUUCAAG